GUGGGGAAUUUUGGACAAUGGGCGAAAGCCUGAUCCAGCCAUGCCGCGUGCAGGAUGAAGGCCUUCGGGUUGUAAACUGCUUUUGUACGGAACGAAAAGACUCCUUCUAAUAAAGGGGGUCCAUGACGGUACCGUAAGAAUAAGCACCGGCUAACUACGUGCCAGCAGCCGCGGUAAUACGUAGGGUGCAAGCGUUAAUCGGAAUUACUUGGCGUAAAGCGUGCGCAGGCGGUUAUAUAAGACAGAUGUGAAAUCCCCGGGCUCAACCUGGGAACUGCAUUUGUGACUGUAUAGCUAGAGUACGGUAGAGGGGGAUGGAAUUCCGCGUGUAGCAGUGAAAUGCGUAGAUAUGCGGAGGAACACCGAUGGCGAAGGCAAUCCCCUGGACCUGUACUGACGCUCAUGCACGAAAGCGUGGGGAGCAAACAGGAUUAGAAACCCCGGUAGUCC
rnacentral:rRNA from 1 species